rnacentral:rRNA from 1 species
UCCUACGGGGGGCAGCAGUGAGGAAUAUUGGUCAAUGGUCGGGAGACUGAACCAGCCAAGCCGCGUGAGGGAUGAAGGUACAGAGUAUCGUAAACCUCUUUUGUCAGGGAGCAAAGGCGGGGACGUGUCCCCGGAUGAGUGUACCUGAAGAAAAAGCAUCGGCUAACUCCGUGCCAGCAGCCGCGGUAAUACGGAGGAUGCGAGCGUUAUCCGGAUUUAUUGGGUUUAAAGGGUGCGCAGGCGGUCUGUUAAGUCAGCGGUCAAAGCCCGGGGCUCAACCCCGGCCCGCCGUUGAAACUGGCAGG